ACUGGGAUAGCUCAGCCGGUAGAACAUGAGGCUCUUAAUCUCGGGGUUGUGGGUUAAAGCCCCACUUUGGGUG